GGCAAUUCCUCGUACGACCAGAGGAUCGGAAAUAUCAAAGGAUAUUAUGGCGCAGCGCGAGUGGAGAAACAGAAACAUAUGAGCUUAACACCGUAAUACUCUUAUCAUAGAAAUAGAAGCAGUCCUCAAUUCCCGCCCUCUAACUUCUAUCUCCACCGAUCCAAAUGAUCUCCUAGCCCUCACUCCCGGACAUUUCCUCAUUGGCGAUUCAUUAAUGUGCUUACGUGAUCGAGAUUUCAGGGACAUUCCAUCGAACCGACUCUCCAAAUGGCAGCAUAUCCAACAGCUUAAACAACAUUUUUGGAACCGCUGGCAUAAGGAGUAUUUGAACGAGCUAACCAACCGCAAUAAAUGGAGCAAGGGUGGACACAGCAUCCAAAAGGGCACAAUCGUCAUCCUCAGAGAGGACAACGUUCCCUCCAUGCAUUGGCCUCUGGGCCGAGUUAUCAAGAUUCAUCCAGGCGCCGAUGGUGUCAUCCGGACAGCUACAGUUCAGACGGCAAAGAGCAUUUUGGAUCGGGGCGUCAAAAGGCUUGUCCCACUGCCAAUUCAACCCGAUCUCGAGAAACCCGAACAACUAGCCACCGAGACGAAAUAAGAUGGGAACUUCAACCACACCUCCCUAGUUUGAUCGGUACCCUCUCAACGGGGGGAGAAUGUUACGCCAUGCGGCUUACCAUAGGUCAUAUUCUUAACUAUCGAUCGCGGCACUAUAAUGUCGCAGACGGAUCGUCGUGUCUGCCCGGCAAACAAACAUUGUAGUGGCAAGCGCAUGGUUCAUUAAGCAGGGCGACUUCCAGAAACGUCGACUCGUGGCCCGUAUUUUACCUCGCGUAAAAGAAUGUGGCGUGAUCCGAACGUAGUGGGGGUCGCCUUCCAGAAAAAACGAAAAAAAUCGAAAGGCGUUCAGAACUUUUCGAGAUGUCGAACCGUCAACACAUGUGAAUGUACCACACCGGACAAUCAAGAAGGCAGGUGCCUUGACUACAGAAAAUGUAAACCUCUGCAAGAAAUAUGGCAGAUACAGUACCGUACAGCCACCGAUUUUUAUAGACGAUCAGUGUGCAGAUACCAGGGCAAUGUUACGAUCGUUUGCUGUCCGAACGAUCCAAACAAAGAGAAGAGAGAAAUUUUAAUAAAAACUGUGUAUAAGUAUAAGGCUUUGCGACCACCAUACUGUGGUUUUAGCAACGUCUCUCAUACCAGGGUGGUCGAUGGUAAACCAGCUGAACUUGGUACGUUUUAUGUCUUUCUUUCCGAUUAAUAAUAAGCCAUUUACUGCAAAGAAUGAACUUUAAAGGCAUUAAACAGCACAUCAAUGAAGAGUAUCUUUUUGCUUGAAAUAAAAAAUUGAUAUAGGAGUAAUAAUAUGGAUAGAGAUCAAAAACUGUUAGGGCAGAAAUUACACGUUUGAACUUUAUAGUUCAGUAUAGUUCAAAUAGAAAUUAUAUAGAAUUAUUUAAUAAUUUGUAUUCCACUGGAAUAAAAAUUUAAUUUCUGUCUUUAUCAAAUCUCUAUUUCAGAGUAUUUGUACGUAUGUACUUAUCGUCUGCUGUAUGAUCGAAUAUCGAAUAGGCGCUUGGCCAUGGAUCGCUGCAUUAGGUUUUCGUAAUCCCCGAAACCCAGACAAACCACUAUGGAAGUGCGGAGGUUCCCUGAUAUCGGCUAGGCAUGUUUUGACCGCAGCACAUUGUGCACAUAUGGAUGGAAUAGAAAACAUACACAAUCAUAAUAUUGCCAUUCUUAGAUUGGUGGAGGAGGUGCCAUUUUCGAGGUACGUAUAUCCCAUUUGUACGAAAGAGCCCCUACGAAAGAGCAACUUCGUCGGCUAUAACCCCCUUGUUGCUGGAUCGGGAGCAUUAAGAUAUAAU